GACUGAGGUAAACCUAGGGUAUUCGUUGGUUUCAAAGUCUGAACAAGAAUGAUAUUGGCGCAAGCGCAUUCUCUAUAAUCGUAGAGGUUCUCAACAUUGGCUCGACUAACCGUUGCUAUAACCAAAAUAACGUACAUAGUAAUAUGUGGUAUGCAGAGUAUUUUGAGUGCUGUAGUCACUUUAGACAAAUGCGCAUCACAUGAAACAUUUAAAAUUAGAUUAUAGUUAUACAAUGGAUGCUUGAAAUAAAAUAAUUCGAGCACAGUAAACGAUAAAGAUCCAAAUUUAAGAUAACAAAAUAUUGCAUUGAAGCUUUUCUUUAAACUUCUUUCAAUGAUCCCAACAACUUAGAAAUACACAGAAAUAAAUACGUAUAAAUACAAUUAAAAGUAAAUAAUAAAUAAAUAUAAUUAAGAUUAUUCACAACAAAAUAAGGAUUAAUGUCAUUCUGUUUACAUAUUAUCCGCCAUGUGUAUAUCGAAAAAAUGUAUAUAUACAAACAAAGAUACUUCCUUGAAUAAAUUAAAGUACCACAUGUGUUCGUUUAACAUCUUUGUAUUUAUUUUUUACAUGGUUCUAUUGUUUAUUUUCCAAGAAAACGAAUUAAAAAUAAAUGUGUCCAAGUGGGAUGUCAUUUAAUAAUUGUUUCAUAGCUACGACACUGCCAAGCAUACGUGCUGAUGAUCCCGUGCCAUGAAGCCUAGAAGGAUAAGGGGGACAUGGGAAUUGGUGGGGAUUCAUGAAAAUGACGACGUAUCGACCCUUAAAUAACGGACCAAAUUCUCGAACGUUAUACGACUCAACUCGCACGUACCGUCGCGGAAGCCUUCAAUUGAGAGUCUCUGGUUUAGAGGUCAGUCAAGGGCACCUUUCGUGACAUUCGUCGAAUUUACUAACGAAAUUUUUCGAUGUAAGGUUGACGCACCCUCACACACACAUUAUGAAACGUAUUGCUUUUCGUUGAAACGUCUUUAUCAUUACGCGAUACAGUUCAUUGAUAAGAUUCAUGAGAUGUCAUUUCAUGAUGACGUAGUCAUGAUCUGACGUUCAAGGUGUUCGAUUGAAUUGAUAAGCAGUCACAUGUAAUUGGAAUUUGCAUGAUGCAACUGAAGAUUGAAUAUUGAAAAGAAUUCUGAUAUUCGUUUCCACACAGGUUCUAAUUCUCCUAACGAAGCUUGAGAGCAAAGCUUCGCUCUUUCUAAAAAUGCUGCUUGAGCAUCUUGCACUUUAUCUGGAUUUCCUUUCCACGUUUUCAAUGCUGCAUUCUUUGAAAAGAUAUUUGAAGAUACUUGUAAAGCACGUCCGUAGCAAAACGUAAGAGGCCAAGGCUUUCUCCCUUCGUAAGCGUUAAUAGCGUUUAAAUUUAAAACAGCAUCUUCAUCCGAUUGUCCUCCGCUUAGAAAUAUAACCGCUGGUACUGCUGGCGGCACUGUCCUCUGUAAAGCUGCUAACAAUUCAGUAGAAAUUCGAACUAAAAUACGUAAUUAACAAUCGCGUAUAAAAUUAUACGAUACGAAACUUUAUAUAACAAUUGGGAUUGUUGAACAGAUAUCGUGUAAGUAAAGUAGAUAUUGUACCUGCGGUGAACAAUUGGUAGAAUUUUUUAUUCCCGACAAAACCAUCGCUACCUUUAGGAUCAUACCUUCAAGGUACCAUUCGUGCACUCUGACAUAUACUGGCAUAUCUGCGAAAAAUGAAUUGUCUAGUUAUAUUACAUAAAUAUAUAUUUGAAGUACAUAGGAGUUUUGUCAGUAAAAUUUAUUGAUAUACAAACAAAUUUAUUUACAAUUUACUGAUAUAUUUCAAACAAAAGUUAAUCUGUUUUGAAUCUGAUCCUUUAUAGAAAUAAGCGAUUUUAAAGCAUUGGAAUUUGUAGCUGAUUCAAAACAGAUUAACUUUUGUUUGAAAUAAUUUUGUUAUUAGUUACAUUGUUAUAGUAUUAUUAUUUAUAAAAUAUUAUUUUGUUAAAAGUCACUUUGACUUUUUUAAAUGGCGUGAUGUAUGUUUGAUUUCAUGACAUUGAAGCUGAUGCCAAGAAAAGUUUGACGACCUAUAAUAGAAUGAUCUUCAGACGACCUUGAGUUCAGAAAUCUUGAAUUUACUAAUUCAUGGGAGUCGAUCAGACGUUUGCAAUAAUGUUUGUGUUAUCAACAAAUUGGAAAAAAUUACCAAAGUACUUUUCAUUCAACAGAGGAUAAGUGUUAUUUUAACUUUUCUACAUGGGAUUGUCUAUUGGAUCUCCUAUCCGUAUAUUUGUGCUUAUAAUAAAUGUUCAAAUUGUAUGCCACUUUGCGCGAUAUAAAGUUUCACUCUUUUCAGUAAAUUUUAAAUAAAUUAAUCAAAACGGA